rnacentral:lncRNA from 1 species
GAAACACUUAGGAGCCCUUCAUUCUUAGUGUUCUGAACCGUCCUGAUGGUGCGGUGCCCUUAACCAUCUACUCCUCUGGGCUCUCCCGGGAAAUUUCUUAAGUUGUCUUCUAAUUGGUUCCUAUUCUUUCUUUCUGGACUGCCUGUUGUUCCAAUGCUGGGCCUCCCAGGCUAACCCUUCAAUAUUUCCUCUCUUCUCUGUUUCUCAUCUCUUAAUCUUUUGAUCUGCUUUCAAGGGAGAGUUAUUUAGCUUUAUCUUUUCAUAUGCCCCAUGAAUAUUUAAUUAAUUCUUACUUUUCAAAAUAUUUUAUGUUUUUUUCUCUGUUUCAUAGUGUCCUGUUCUUGUUUCAUGGGUGCAGAACUGCUGUCUCUGUGGAUGUUCACUGAGAGUGGGGUUUGGGGGAAGUUCUUUUCUGCUGUUUGUCAUCAUUUUCUCUAAAUUUACUUUUUCUUGGUUAGUGUCCAUCUCUUGUCUUUCAUGGUACGGGUCUUGUUCAGAUAUCUGGUGACCCUGUGGAUCUGUUCAUGUGUAAGAAUGAUACAUCAAAAAAUGGAUAGGAAGCUCUACGUUUCCACUGGUGGAUUUCUCUGUAGGGUCACCAGGUGGGCACCUGGACCCUUCACGGGAGGACCACACGUAGCCAUAUUUGCAGGUCUUUUCUCUAGAGCUUGUUGUGUUUCUUUAGAGAUAUUUCCACUCUCUCCUGCCUGAGAAAAAGGGACAUACAUGGGCUGCUACUGGCCUGUGCAGUUUCGAAAAAGGAACUCCCCCUGGGUGGCAGACUUAGAAAUAGAUGCCCCUCUGGGCAGAAGCCACCCAUGGGCACUUGACCAAACUGGCAGGAGGCAUCUUUUGCCUCUUUUCUCCAAGGAAGGGCUUGAGGAGCAGAGCAAGGGCUAGAUUUUAACUCUCAAUUGCCCCUGGAGCCAAGUGCCUUUGUGCAGCGCAUAGACUGUAGGACAGUGGCCAGGGAUCUGGGCGCACACCCGAGUGCCUGCAUCCUGGCCUCUGAGCAGGCUUCUCAUCACAGUCAGUAUGUAGACUCGCUGAAUUGCUCUCGCCUCGCGAGGCCAGUUGUCCCUGGCUUAGAGCCCCUCUGCUCCCCCCUCCCCCCCAGGGGGGGGUAGGCUUGCUGCUGGGUCCCGCCUCUCCUCUGCAGGUGCCCAGUGUUAGGAGUCCUCCUGGCCCUCAGCUUUGCCCCGGCCUUGAAUGAGUUGGCAUCUCUUGGCUGCUGUCAGCUCGUCUCCAUCCCUUUGUCUUCAUGAUGCCAUGGCAUCCAUUCCUUUGCUCUUAUUUCCGUGAGGUUUCACCAGGGAAGAAAUGAGCCGCUGUGCUCAAGGCGCCGUCUGGAACCGCAGAUCCCAUGGAUGCUUUUUCUCUGCCCGUCAGGUAGCUCGCUGCUCUGCAGACAUGUCAAGCCUGCUGAGCUAUGGUCCGCCAGCGCCUUCAUAUGGCACUGGACCACGUGCGGAGAGGGGGCCAGCACCGAGCUCCCCUGGACACCACAGCGUUCCCCCUUCACCUCCCGCCCCCACAGGCUCCCGCAGUCAGGCACUCUCUAGGUUUUCCUCGUCACCCUCACCUCGCUUGGAAACAAGUAGUCCGCACCGGUGUCUGGCAGCCAGCAAACCGGCUGCUCCCUCUGUUGGGUGGCUAUUCGGAACCCGGCCAGCAGGUCCUCCUGGUCAGACCCAGCCUCUUGUGGGGCAGCCCCCCCGCCCCCAGGACAGCCACCCCUGGACACGGGCUGCUGCUUCCUCUCCUCUCUUGCCUGUGCAGAGGAGAAAUGACUAGUCACGCUGUUAGUUAGUCCCCUCGAAGGGACAGUCGGUGCCCUCGGGAGGGGCGUCUUGAUUCCCAAGUAGGUUUUCUACAAACCUCCAGCCUCCAGCCACUGACGCCAAGCUGGGCCUCCCUCCUCACUGCGCACUUGGGACAUCACGGGGCUAAUCUCAGACACGAGCCACCGUAAACAGGGAGAGCGCACCUCGCCAGGCAGCAGAAGCCAUCGACGCUUCUUGGUUAAGAAGGACUCCCGUGGCCCUGUCGCUGGAGCGCAGGCCUGAGGCGCAGACUCAUGCAAGUGCAGUGUCUCUGAGCCCCCGAGGGCCUCCAGGAGGCCGCCUGCAGUUUGGGGCUGUGGCCUCUCUCUGCCUGGAGACCUGCCCAGCCAGCUCGGCCGAAUCCCCCGCCUGUGUUCAGCUUUGCGUCCUGAAGCCCCUGAGAUGGGCAAUGUGGGCGUUUCAAGCCCGCAUGGCUCCACAGAACCUGCCCAGUGACGCGCUUACCAGGACACCAGAGGCCCCGAUNAUCUUUGGGGGAAGGUUUAACUUCUUGGGCUGCAGCUGCCAUCUGAGGUCCCCCUGGAACCACAGGCUCUUCCUCUGGCCCAUCCAGCUGCUGAGUGGGGCGCUCUCAGGACCCAGGGGGAGCGGCUGAAGGCUGCAAGCUGGCGUGAGUGCGGUCACGCUUCUCGGCUAGAAAUUUGCUGUGGAGUUUGUCUCCUCAGGGAGCCGUGAAAUCAGAUGAGGCUUCUUUGCUGGACAUUGAGUCCCACAGAUCUUUUGGGCUCUGCUUCUUGUCAGGCACUUGGUUGAGCCUGAUGUGGGUGCAGCGUGCACUUGGCCUGCGUUGGCCCCGAAUCUUCCAUGCCCACCGCAUGCAGGCCCUGUGUCCUCAGGCUCUAGGUGAGCCCCAGGCCUCCUUGCUCUGAUGUGUGACAGUGCCAAGGUGACCUGCAGGCCUUGAAAGGUCCCCCCCCCAACCCCUACCCCGUGGUGCAACCAGCUUGGGGUGGGCUUGGCCCAGUAAAGGGCAGAGGCCUGCAGAUUCGGAGCCCCUGCUUCCCCAGGAGUCCUGGGCCCCUCUGAAUCUUCUGAAAUUGCCAGACCCCGCAGCACCGGGAAGGCCCACUUAAGUGUUUUUAACUUAUUUAUGCAUAUUUAAUUUAACCAGGCAGGUUGUCCCCCACCCAGAACUGUAGCACCGACAAGUGAGAAAACAGCCUCGUUUUUUUGAGAAAAAGACAGUAUUUUGUGCUGUUGGACCGCAUGGUUUUAAAUACACACACAACUCAACAAUCUAGGUGCCUCAUCCCACCGCGGACUUUAAAAUCCCCGACUGGCUGCCUUUCAUCCAGCAGGAAUCUCUUUAACGGAGGUUCCCCCCCGCCGCCCAACGCCUUUUUUUUUUUUUUUUUUAAAUCACUCCCUCCCUCUUUCCCAGGAGGUUUUCUGGGAUAAGGGAAGAGGGCUGCUUUGGGCAUCAGCCAGAGCUGGGUGCAAGCCCUGGCUCCGUCUUCUGGGCCACAUUCCUGCUCUGAGCAUCUUCUGCGCAGAGCAGACUCUCUGGACGUAAUUGUCGAAUGAGCAUAGCUUCACAGCGAGCUUGCUAGGAGGUCGUAGAGGGCCCAGGGGCUCCUCGUGUGCGGGGCCCUCUCCAGGCUCUGACGUUCCCCCUUUGCCCUGCGUUCAGUUCGCCACAGCCUCUCCCAGCCUCUCCGCACUGCACUGCCAUCUCGCCAGCCGCCCCGUCUCAAAUCUAAACCAUGCCUUUCGCAAGAGGAAGCCGAAGCCGGCGUCUCCCCAUGAGCUCACUGGGCGCUCGUGACAAUCACGGGAGGUGGGUCUUUCCGAGAGGAAAGUAAAACACAGGAAGGAAGCCCUCGAGCGGGCAAGUGGCAGAAUCGCGGCCAUAGGACUCUUACUUGCAAACGUUCGUUUCCACCCUGGACCUCAUGCUUAGAAAAUGAGUCACGCCCUGGUGAGAUGCUGAGUCUUGGUGACUUUGGCCUCGUUGGCAAGCGAGGGUGGAAAUCGGCAUUGGGAAAAUGACACAGUUUAUUAGUCCAUGGCAGCCCCCACUUUGUAUUUCCCUCUUCCCAGGUCUCUGCACACUUUGACCCCCCCAUGUCAACACUGCUUAAAUAUCUCCUUCAUCCUCAGUCACAAACGUGACAGAGUAAUCUUAGACAUCAACUAUACUUCAAUUAAACGUAAAUGAAAGAUUUUUUUUUUAAUGACUGGGGAUGCCCCAAGUUCAGGUAUUAGCUUAGGGUUGCAAAUUUGCCACCAAAAUGACUGUGCAUAAAGUUUAGCAGCACUUUAGCAGCAUAACCUCAGUGUCCAGCAGCCAAGACUUAAGGGACUUUAAUUAACUUCCCCCGCCCUUGACUCUCCACUUGCAGCACCCGAUUUUCAGAGUAAGAAGUGGGGCUCUGUUCUUGGAAAAGCAGAUCUCACUGCGCCCGGCAGAGACGACAAACAGGGGUGAAGUGCCUCCAUCACCUCAACAAAGUCCUAACUGCUUGGUCUGUGAGACAGGAAUCAUCCGUUUUCCUUUGUUUUGAAUUUGAAAGUUGUGAUCAUUGCAUUAUUGCAAAAACGAAGAGAAAACAUAUCGUUUGCUAGGUUUCUGCCAUUUGCACCGGCUACUGAUUCUUUUAGCAGCAGCAGAAGUCAGGAAGGGCAUUUUCUCUCUAAGACUGUGGUAUGAGGACAGCCACAAUGUGCCGGUAUUGCUAAAUGUCAGGCAAGGAUGGAAAGCCUUUUUUUUUUUUUUUAAGGACGGCACCCAUGGCAUAUGGAGGUUCCCAGGCUAGGGGUCUAAUUGGAGCCGUAGCCGCCGGCCUACACCACAGCCACAGCAAUGUGGGAUCCGAGCUGUCUGCAGCCUACACCACUGAGCGAGGCCAGUGGCAAUGCCGGAUCCUUAACCCACUGAGCGAGGCCAGGGAUCAAACCUGCAUCUUCGUGGAUGCCAGUCAGAUUCAUUUCUGCUGAGCCACAAGGGGAACUCUGAUUGAAAGACUUUUAAAAAGGAAACUCAGUGUUUGUCACCUAAAGAGCUGACAUUGUCCCAAAGUAGGACAGUACUGGCCUGGGCAUCGAGAAGCCUCAUCUCAGCUCCAGCUCACCUGCUGUGACACCUUGAAUAAUUCAUUUACCUCUCUGGGUCAGAAGUUGGAAGAUCUCUUUAAAAGUUCUUCCUGGGUUUAAAAAUCCGGAAGUCUAGCAAGUUAGUUUUUCAGGGUUUUUGUUGUUGUUGUUUUUUCUGUUUGUUUUUAACCUCAGUAAGUGACCUAUUUGCUUAAAUAAAUGCACCUCUGUAUCUGUAAGUGAAUUCCAAAGCUUAGAGCUGUGCUUCUGGCUUCAGUAUCGGGGAAAGGUGCCUGGGGGAGGGGGUUGGAACAAUGAAAGGUAGUCUGUUGAAGGCGUGGGGUUGAACAUUGGGGGUGGGACGUGAGAGGUCUGCUUCUGAACUGGUCUGAUCUGAUCUGAACUGGUCGCCUUGAAUUAAGUCACCGUCUGAGGCCGUUUCCCAGGGGACUUUCUUUCAGAUUCACGAGCUCAGCUGAAGGACUCGAUAACCAUGGACAACAGACUUCCCGUUCUUUCCCGCUAUUCCCCCUUCCUCUCCAAGACUCGAGAUGCGUAGGCAUAGAAAGUCCCCUUGGAAACAGAGGCUGCUUGCAUUCUAGCACGGGGUCCCUUAAGCCAAAGACUGGCAUGUUUGUGUAGACUGUCCCUAGGGUGGGUGUGGUACUGCAGGGAGGGUGUCCCAGGAAGCAGAUCCCUUUGCCUUGAAAUUGCACCAUAAGUUAGCUGCCUGCAUCACUUGCAGUGGUGUUGGUAGCAUCAGCCAAAGACAGAGUAAACGUGGAAGAAUGGUGGUUCUUUACUGUACGUGGUCGGGAGAAGUUCUUAAACCUGACGAGCUCCCGCUGUGGCACAGCGGGUGAAGGAUCCAGUUGCAGCUGGGGCGUAGGUCACAGCUGCAGCUCUGAUGCAGUCCCUGGCCUGGCCACCUUCAUAUGCCACGGGUGCAGCUGAAGAAAAUAUAUGUAUUAACUCUGGAAAUAGGAGUUUGUUUAAAACAUGUUGUGUUUUCCUUUCCUGAGGAGGAUCGGUGUGUAUUUUUUCAAGGUCGGCAGUAUGUUUAACAGAUUUAAUGCUACAGUUUCUUUUAAUGUCAUGGCAGGACUUGAUUGAUAAUGUCUGAAAAUUUUUACCGAGAGCUCUAGAGAACUAUUGAAAAAAACGAAAUGUUAUUUUGUAGUACGAGAAUUAUUUUGUCUAUUUAGUUAUAUACGUAGCUGUAGCUUUGUAAAAAGGUAUCUUUGUACAAAAAAACUGUAUGAACGUGCCCUCUUAUUUAUUGAUUAUUGUAAAUGAAGAUAUAAAUGACUAUUUGCAUAAUU